rnacentral:lncRNA from 1 species
GAACCCCGUGGCGGUAGAGCGCUGCAGUCAUCCGAUUGAUUCUCCUGCUCCUCCACCUCCUUCACCCAACAAGUGUUGUGUUGCUCGCGGAGUGACUAGCUUACCGUUCUUUCAUUCUCUCUUGCGCGGAUCGUUUGGUUGCAUUCAUUCGUCGAUCGCAGGCUCAGAGUCCGAAUUCCAACAAUGGCAGCGGGUCACGGUGUUUCUGUGCAGAGGAUGGGCAGGUCGCGGAGGGCUGCCCCCAGACGAGGCCAGGUGAAGGCUGCCAUAGCCCUCUCCCUGCUGCAUUCCCUUUCGUCCGCUGUCCUGAGGACUCGCUCCGCGGUGUCCCGCUCCCGCCGGCCGUUCUCGUGGCACAGCAGCUGAGGCGCGGGCGAGGCGACCCGUGCGUGGUCGCGCUGAGCGAUGGUAAUUGGAAUUUGAAUGGAACGGCCACACCACAGGUAUGGCGAUCGCGGGGCGCUUCUCCGGCAGAGCGCACCCGAAAUGGGGACCCCGCCGCCUGUCGCGGCGCCAGCUCCAGCGCGUCGUGUUUCACGUCAUGUUUACACGUCGAGGUUUGCUCGGAACAGGAUGCGCGACGAGUCCGAGCGUCCGUCGGACGGGGUUCGACACAUUUUUCGUAGGCAUUCGAUGCAGGGAAGAGGGGAUUGGGGAUUGGUUGAUUGAGAACCAAGGAAGCGUGGUGCGCGACCCCAUGAGCAGGAGUACGUCCCGAUGAUGGGGGUGGGAGGGCCCCGGGAGGGGCUUCACUGUCGACUCGACGGUCGCCUUGUGUGCGUCACGCUUGCCGUGCUAGGUGUUUAGACAUAAUUGCUUGGCAUCAUCGUGCCAAGUUCGUGAGCAAGAUCGACCCGCAGUCGAUCAUUGAGUGUGCCAUACGCUGUACAUUGCUGUACGUAUUUUUGUGAAAUGAAAACACGGUCCGGGAUUUGAAUGCAAGAGACUUGGGUAUGGAUGAGGCAUAUUCCUGGUGUAUUGGAGUUUGAUGGUGGUUGCAGUAUUGGAGUCCGAUGUGCUGUGUCUUGCAUGAUCCGGGUCCCAUAUGGACAAGCACACUGCAUGUGGAUGGCAAGUCGUGUGGAUUGAGUCGCAUUUGAGUGAUCCGGAGUACAGACGCGUUAUUGGGGAGUUGAUGUUUAACGAGUUUGGUAUAGUAAUUAACAACAAACUGAGUCACAAUCAACUUUUUUUUUGGUUCACAGAGCCGAUGAAGGUUUUUGUUUACUUUGAAGUAGAAAUUUAAUGAACACUUGGUUUUCUUUUUCUUUUUCAAACCAGUUUGGAUAUCACAUAUUCUGAUGAGUCUCUUUGUUGAGUGCAAUCCUUUCCGAUGUUAGCAUGGUUUGGAUUGUCGUUUUUAUGUGAGUUAGAUCUUUUACAUUGUGCACAAAUAUGGUGUCUGUGUCUGGCCAGUAAAAUCAGUGAUUUUCUGUGGUUGGUAGGUCAAAUGGUGCCAAUAGAAAUGGAUUGGGGUAUUGGAUGUGGUUGCUAGGAUUUGUAAGUGUUAGAUGCAAUUGAUUGGAAGUAAAUGAUCCUUGUUGACUUUCUCAUUUACGUACUCAUUCCCCCCUCUCAUCUUCUAUAUAGAAAAGGGCCCCAAAUGAGCAAAUGCUUGUGAUGGAGGGAAUGUGGUGUAGGGCAAGAGCAGGAUCAGCGGACGGCUGGAAGCUAAUGUAGAGUGAGGAUGUUGGUGUUGCAUGUACUCCGCAUUCUCGAGGUUUACGGGUGAAGUGGUGGGAGGUGUAAAAGGCGCUGGAUUUCAUGCAGCCGAGGAUGAGGUGUAGUACGAAUGGUACAGUUUUGGACGGUAUCGAGUUCGACAGUGGAGGUUUGAAGUUGCUGUCAAUGUCUUGGGCUGUCGGGGCAAGCACGGGUAUGUGAGGGAAGGGGUUGACAUAGAAUUACAAGAUGUGACAUGAAAGUAGUGUUUUUUUAUUUCUCCAAUGGUGUAGUUACUGUCACAAGAUGUUGGAGCAGUCGCCGAUAUUUUGUUGGAAGAGUUUCGUUUGUGGAUCAUUUUCCUGCGCUAGUCGUCGUCAAUACAAAGUUUUGCCAUUUGGCGUUGCUCAACGCACGGGUGGUUACGGCCUGGCAAUUUUUCCUCACAUGUUUUCGAAACUUGUGAAGUGCUGGAAGAUAUUGAAACAAGUUCAAUCAACUUUUUAAUAGAAUUAGAAAUAACCCAAGAUUUUAUUUAAUUCGACAAUGCAAUAGUUCACUUUGCAAUGUUGAUGUCUUGAAAGAGCGUUAGAUCAUCCUCCCCUGUUUCUUCCAAUAGAAGGCAGCUAUAAAAGUUAAAAAUUAGUCUCAUUUGUAGUACAAUAAGAUGUUAUCCACUUAUUUUUAAUUUAGUCUAUCAUUUUUAGUAUAAUAUGAUGUGGAUUAUAUAUAAAUCAUUUUUCUUAGAUGUGAAUUGUCACCAAAUUGAUAUGUUUUGGAUAUCUUUUCUCAUUCAUGCUAUUUUUUUUUUUUGUAUGCAAGGUUGUUUUUUAUAGUAGAAAAGUAUUGUUUAGUGUAAUGUUUAUUAAUGUAUUCUAUGUCUUCAACAGUGUAUUAUGGGAUUAAUUACACAAUGAUGGUGAUUUCUUUUUAUAUUGUUUUACAAUUAGCAUAUAUGAAUAAAUUAAGAAUUUUGUGUUGUUUUAUUAUCAACUGAUUAAUCUUGUCAUUGAUUCCACGGCAUUAAAAAAUCUUAUUUGUACUAGUCAAGAGAUAAUAGACCACCAUAUAUUUUGCACAUGCAUAAAAUUAGCAACUCUUGGUUUUCCAAAAUACUCUCAAUUAAAGCCACAUUAAGUAAUUUCUAUUAAUUUUAUACUUUUUGAUUUAUAAAUUAAAAUACAACAAUUGUAACCAAUUUUUUUUUCUUUCUAAAAGAUGAUACUUGAUCUAUUUCAGUAUCAUGAAUUAAAGACAAAUCAUAUAUACAUAUAUAUAUAUAUAUAUAUAUAUAUAUUUAAUUUAAUUUAUUCAACUAAAUUGUAUUAAAUAGCUAUGGUUUACAAUUUGAUUAAUUUCUUUUGAUUUCUUUAUACAACUAGUGAAUAUGGGCUAUAAUAAUUGAAAAGAUGUAAUUUGUCUAUCUCCAAUAUUAUUUUUACUAUCUUACUUUUUAUUUAGCAUGUAUCAUUUUUAAUAAAAUUUGGAUCUAACAUUAUGAAUUUAUUUAUUUUAUUUAUUUAUUCUUGUCUCUUUAUCUUUAUUUAUCUUCUUGAUAGGCAUCUUUGUGAUUAGAGCUUUUCUAGUCUUAUCUAAUGGAUUCAACUUAAACUAUGUAUUUUAGUUCUAUAUUGGCAAUUACAAAAUUAUAUUUAAAAAAUGUGACAAAUUUAUUGAUAUCUUUUCAUUAAUUUUUUAAAAAUAUAUACAUAAAUUUAAAAAUUAAUAUUAAUAAUAUUAAUAAUAAUAAUCUAUUAAUUAGUCUUAUUCAUCUUUUUUCAAUCUUAAUUGUAUUGUUAGAUCUAUUCUUAAAGAUAGAAUAUUUUUUAAUUAUAUAUUUUUUUAUUUUAUUUUUUAAUACUAUUAUUUACUCUCUUUUAAAGAGAAUUAUAUCUUCUUAAAUCUCUUGCUUUUUAAUUUCUUAAAAUUUAAAACCUUGUUUUAUAUCUAAUCAUAUUUUUAAAUUUAUUUUUGCAUUGGAUUUAUUUUUAAAUUUAUUUUUCUAAUGAAGCUUUCGUAUAUGAUAUUUUUUCUUGUAUCUAUUUUUUAAUCAAGCCUCACAUCUAUUUAAAGCACUAUAUAGAAUUUUUUGAUAUUUUUUAAAAAUUUGUUGAUCAAUUAUCUCUUCUUUUUAUUUUUUUUGAGUUGACUAAGUAUUAUUUCAAUUGUAUUAUUUAAAGUUAUUAAUCAAUGUCUUUUUAAUUUAGAAAUAUAAUUUCUUCACAUUUUUGAAGAAAAAUUAUUAUUAAUCUUGCUUUUGGUGAAAUACUCCAAAUGUGUUUUUAAUUAGUCUAUUGAAUCUUUUAUUCAUAAUUUAGACUUUGUACAUUACCAUUGGCUCAUCUAACUUCCCAAAAACCUUAGAUUGCUUAAACAUUGUUUUUUAAUAUGCAAUAGAUUUGACUAUUUCUUUUAAAAAAAAUUAUAUUUCUUAAUGUAUAAUAUAAGUGUUUGUGGUACUUGAGCCAAAGAUACUUUGAUUUAGUCUUUUGUUAAUAAUAUUAGCUCAAAUUUCUAAAUCCAUAAAAAAUUUCACAUAUUUAUAGCUUCUAAAAGUAGUAGUACUUGCAUCUCUUAAAUCAUGGUAUAUUAUUUAAAUGCUUAUUUUAAUGUUGUUUUAAGGUUUUUAAGAGGUUUUGUCAUUAAAAAAAAAUCCAUAUCAAAAAUGUUUGACUUUUUGUUGCAACUAAUUAUUUAAGAAAAUUACAAGAACAUAAAAUUAUCUAUAUAUAUAUAUGUAUUAAAAUGACAUAAUUUACAUCAAAUACACAAAUUAGACAUGCACGUGAAACUCCAAAUAUAUAAAUUCUAAAUUUUAGCACUAAUUAAAAUCUCCAUUUGAUCCUUAAAUUACUAACAAAUUCAAAUUACUAUCUUUUAGAAGUCAAAGAUUACACGUAUUUUUUAUAUUCAACUUUUGAAUAAUAUAUUUUUAAAAUUAAUAUAAAAUAUUUUAAAAUAUUUCUAAUAAUAAGAAUAAAAUUUCAAAUAUAUGACAUAAAAUUUUAAAUUUAGAAAAGAUAUUUGUAAGUAAUAGUGAAAAAAAUAAAAAAAUAAAAAAAUAACUUAAAAAAAUAAUGUACUAUUACCUAAUUCUUUUGUUUUCUUAAAUGUUUUAUUCUUAAUAAUUUCUAAACUACAUAUCUUUUAAUAUAAAACUUUUAAAGGAUAAAAAUAAAUUAUAAUAAUAAGUAUUAUUUAAUUAUAAUAAAAAAUUAUUUAAAAUUAUUUUGAAAUAUAAAAGCUCAAAUCUUAAGCUUUGAUUUUGUAGGAUCAAAAAUCCUCUUCAUCUUAUUAUUUUAUUGUUGUCUUUUGUUGUAUUAUUAAAAAUAAUUCCUACUUUAUAACUAUUUUUUAUUAAAAUUUUAAAAAAAUCUGUCAUAGAUAUUUAUAUUUAUUCUAAUAAUAUUCUAUAUAAUAUGAAUAGGUAGAAGUACAUAAAAGUAUAUAAUUUUGAUAAUAUCUUAUAGAAAACCUUUUUAAAAGCUUUAUAGAUAUGUUUUCAUCUUUAUACAUGUCUAUAGAUGAUUGACAAGUUAAAAACUCAACCAACAAGCUGGCUACAUAUUGCACAUGUUGAUAACUUGUGGUAUAAGUUUGUAAUAGGGUAUAGAUAAGAUAACUAUAUAAAUACUUAGAACCACGGAAGUUCUUAGAAUUAGGAUUAGAUUAAUAGACUAGGUAGGAUCCAUUGUAGAACAUUCUAGAAAGGAUUUAAGGCAGUUAUCUAGAUAAGGCCUACCAUAGAACCUUCUAAAAGAAGAAUUUAAGGCAGUUAUCUAAGUAGGGCCCACUAUCUAAGAUCAUUCUAGAAAGUCUAAGGUGGUGGGACAAAGUAUAAAUAGGACUGAUCAAGGUCUUUUGAGGCAUCUAGUCAAGUAUGGCUUCGGAUCUUUUUUCUUAGUAAAGUUAGGUUCUUCAUCUUUUUAUUCAAAUUUGUUUUAUUUUUGUUUCUAUUUGCUCAAUUUUAUCUUUUAUAUCUUAUUUUUUUUAGUUUUGCUCAGUUUUAUUCUAGUUUGUUUUAUCCUAUUUUGUAAAGAAGCCUUAUGUUGUUGUAAAUUGAAAGGAUCUUGUUUUUUUUUAAUUAGUUUAGUCAUGUUUUAUUGGUACUAGAGUCAGUACUAGAUUGUUUAUUUUUGGUAGCAUGUUAAUAAUCAUCAUUUAGUCCAAGGUCAAUUGUUGUGGUCACACUAAGUAUAGUGUUGAGGCUAUCACAAGCUAUUCUUGAAAAGUCAAUCAGGAGAUGAAAAGGCAUUAUAAUAGUAAAGUCUAAUGGAGAAAUUAUAGUAUGAAAGAUAUGGCAGAGCAAUCCCAGAUUGAGACUCAAAUACACCAUCUCUUAGACCAGAUAGCUACUUUACAAGGUAGUUCAAGAUAGAUUUUGUGACUAGAAGGUGUUUGAGACCAAGUUUAGGAAUUGACUUUGGCCCAUGAAUGCAAAAAAGAUAGCAAGCGAUCAGUUGGCAAAUCUUACACAAGCUAGAUCAGUGCAAGAUUAUAUCUCUUGAUUCAAGUCUUUAUGUCUCUAAAUUGAAAAUAUUUUAGAGGCAAAGAUGAUGGAUCAAUUCCUUCAAGGUUUGAAAUGUGAAAUCCAGCGAGAGAUAGAACUAAGGGAUCCACAAACAUUUGAAGAGGCAAUUCAGAUUGUAGAGAGGGUUGAUGCUUUAGAUUUCAGAAAUUAUAGAGCAUGACCUAUAGCACAAAGUCUUAUGCUACUAUUUAAUAUUAUGGUACAACAACCAAUGCCAAUAGAGAUUGAUGCCUUACAAGGAUCAUUGACAUUACAAAGACGACAAAUAUUGGUGCAAAAAGGAUUAUAGUUCUAUUGUUGAGAACUAGGCCAUGAGAUCAGAGGUUGUCCAAAAUGUCAAAGUAUAAGUACUAGUAGGAUAAGGCAGAUUCACAGUCUCAAAAUUCAUUAAGCCAAUAAUGAAUCAGAAUAAGAAAACAAGACUCUCCAAUAAAGGCACCAAGAACCAAUAUUGGGAGUAACUAUUGUCUCUUAAAGACAAAUGGCAUAGCCUCAGAUAACUAUAAAAAAAGAGUCGAUUGGUGCUUCUAAUGAGACUAUUAAGAAGACAACUAUAUCGAAUGCUUGUAGAUUGUGAUUCUAUAGAAAAUUACAUCUCAAUUGAAAUUGCCAAUUGGCUUGGAAUUAAAAUCAAAGAAAUCAAAAGAAAAAGUAUAUAUCUUGUAGAUGACCAAGAGAUCGUAUUGAUUAAGACUUGUGUAGAAGAAAUCUUGAGAUUGAUGGACACUUACAUCUUAAGAGAGAGAUUCAAGGUAAUAAAGCUAAGGUAUGAUGUUACACUUGGUAUGCCAUGGUUGGAGAUGGAAAAUAAGCAAGUUGAUUGGGUAGCAAGGACAAUCUCUUUUAAAGAUGGAAGAUGCAAGGUAACUCUUUGUAUCUCUACAUCAAGUGAAGAGAAAAGAUAAUUUGUAAUUAAAAACUUAUUUGUAGGGACGACCUUUAUGAAGAAGCAACUACAAUGUAAGCAACCAAUAUAUAUGGUGGUUCCAAAUCUUGCGUCAGUGAUUAGAAAGACAAUUGAAGGGAUAAAAUAGAUAGAAUAAUUCAUAUGGGAAUAUGAGGAUGUCUUUCUAAAUGACUAAUCUAGUGGUGUACUUCCUGAUUGAUGUGCCUUCUUUCAAAUAGAACUAUUACUUGGAACCAAAUGAAGAAGUCAACCAAUUUAUUUCCUAGCACCAAAAGAACUUGAAGAGCUACGGAAGACAUUAGACAAACUCUUAGAAAAAGGCUUUAUUUGAGAAAGCACAUCACUAUAGAGAACACUUAUACUCUUUGCAUCUAAGAAAGAUGGUAGACUUUGUCUUUGCAUCAACUAUUGAGGUCUUAAUAAGCAGACUGUUAAGAAUGUAUAUCCACUUCCGCAUGUGGAUGAUCUUGACCAACUUUGAGAUAUAAUAAAUUAGAUCUUUUGAGUGGAUAUUGGCAAAUAUCUAUUACAAGAGAAUAUGUAAAAAAGAUGACAUCUUAUACGUGCUAUAGACAUUUCAAAUGGCUAGUUUUAUCCUUUGGACUCACGAAUGCUCCACCCUCUUUCAUGGAUCACAAGAAUAGAUUGUUUUAAGACCUUUUAGAUAAGUAUAUAGUUGUCUUCAUUGAUGAUAUCCUCGAAUAUAGUAAAAUCUUUGAAGAGCAUGAACAGCACUUAUGAGAGGUGCUAUACUAAUUGUAAGAUAGUUGCUUUUAUUGUAAGCAAUCAAAAUGUGAACUUUGGAAGUCAGAAGUCACCUUUUUGAAGCAUGAGGUGUCCUCUGAAGAUAUGCAUAUGGAGCACAAUAAGAUAAAAGUAAUAGAAGAUUGGCCAAUUCUCAAAGAUGCUUCUAAAGUUUGCUCAUUUUUAGGCCUUGCUUGAUACUAUCACCAUUUUGUUUAGCAAUUUGUUCACAUUGUUGUAUUAUUGACAAACCUAUUAGAGAAAGGUGCUUCAUUUGAAUGGAAACUAGAGCAGCAAAAUGCCUUUGACAAGUUGAAGGAAGCAUUCAUUAUUACUCUAAUAUUACAACCGUAUGAUUCUAUUUUCCUUUGUACGCUGUCAACGUAGAGAAAGUUUGCCUCAAGAAAGUAUUGGACUCCUGGCUACCACUAAUUAUUCAAUCAAGUCUUAGUAUAAGAAAGGCCAAGUUUUUAUAUAUAUCUAGCACAUUUAUGAGCAAUUAUACUAAAUAUAUAAGUCUUAAGUUUCCAAAAAUAUCCAAAAUAUGAUAAAAAAAAAAUUCUAAAUCCUUAUAUAUCCUUAUGGGAUAUUAUUCUUAAACUUCAAAAAUUCAUAUCUUCUAAUUGGACUAUUCAAACAAACUCAAAUUUUACACAAAAUUUUGAUGUACUUCUAACAACUAUCACAACAAAUUUCAACUAUAAAUUCGUUGCAAAACUUAAGAUAUCACCAAAAUCCUAACAGUAGCUUCAAACACUAGUUUUUAUACACCUACGUAUAAUUCUUUUUAUAUUUCACAAAUUAAGCACUCGAAUGCUAUAAAAUUUAUAUAUAUAUAUAUAUAUAUAUAUAUAUAUAUAUAUAGCUUCUUAAACAUAAUAAUCUAUCUUCUUCAAAAAAUUAGAGCCAAAAAUUCGUCCAAAAAUUCAAGAUAUGGCUCCAAUCAUUACUAUGAACAAAAUCACUUACUUACUGCCUUUGAUUUGGAUGCACUGACUUCAACUCUCUAUAACUUCUUCAUCCAAAUUCUAAAUUCAUCAAUAACAUAUGAAAGAUGUAGCUGAAAAAUUGAUCUCUCCAAUCCUAGUUGCCGAUCCUUCGUUGCUCUUUGUAAAUGUAUGUUAUAUCCUAAAGAAUAAUAGUAGGUAUGAAAUUCACACUUUAACUUCGAGUGCCAAUAAAUCCUUCAUAAAAACUCCAAAUCACAUAAAAUUUAUAUCCAAUCCAUAUCCAAAAACCUAAAAUUGAUGAUCUUAGCCUCCAAAGCUCGAAUGAUCUGAGAAUAAAAAUCCUAAUUCUUAAUAAAGCCUAUGACAGCCUCCUUAAAGUCCAUUGGGCAUGGCAUUUGAUCAAUAGGGAUGAAGUUCUCCAUUCCUUACCUUCAUUUGACCAUGCCUUACUUUCAUCCCUCUCAAUUAGCUUCCUACUAAUUUAGAUUUUCAUCUUUAGGCUUCCACCUUCUUCCAAGGCUUCAUACUAAAUAUUUAGGUCUCAUAUAUUUUUUUUAAUGCCAAAAUCAAAACAAGUAAAAAAAAAAAAAAAAAAAAAGUAAAUUUUCUUAUAUCAACUCUCUUUAAAUUAAUCUAUAAACCAUUCUAAUAUAUAGCAAGACUUAUAAACAUAUUACAUAUUUUAAUUAAUUUUUACAUACUAUAAGGAAUUACAGUAUCACAACGCUUGACAUUGAUGCUUCCGACUUUGCUUUUGGAGUAGCCCUUCAAUAAGACUUUGAUAGAAGCAGUCAACCUGUGGCAUAUGGAUCACGCAAGUUCAGAAGGAUAGAGCAUAAUUACUUUGUAUAUGAUUCGGAGUAAUUAGAGAUUGUAUACACUACAAAGAUGUGGUGAUACUAUCUAUUGUUAAAGCUAGUGAUAAUUUAGACUAACCAUUGGUCCUUGCUAAAUGAUUUGCAUCUAAAAAAUAUGAAAUCGUAGCAUCAUCGUUGAGAAAAACAAUUGCAGUUCUUUCAUAUCCAGCUUGAGUACAAGCAAAGGCGACAACAUAUUGUACCAAAUAGCUUAUUAUACAGACCAGACUUGUAAGACAAAUUAGAAGACAAGGCAAAAUUUGCUACCAUUAGUAGCAUCAUUUCAAAUCUAAUCAAAAAGAUAAAAUAGAAAGAAGCUAUACAACUGAAUGCUUAUUUUAAGAUGAUUAGCAAUCUGUUGAAGGUCGACGAUAUACAAUAUCAAGAUUACACUCUUAGUGAAGGCUUGUUCUAUUUCAAGCAAUAAAUUUAUGUAUCCAACAAUGCUAAACUCUAGAUGUGCAUAUUUCAGGAGCGACAUGACAUCCUAAUAUUUGGACAUCUGAAACAAAAAAAGAUCUCAAAAUAGAUUUGAAGGAUAUGUUUUUGGACAAGUUUAGAUUGUGAUGUUCAAGCCUUUGUAUGCUCUUGCAAAUCAUAUCAAUGUAAUAAAACAUGCAACGUAGCGUCUCCUAGACUAUUGCAAUCAAUUUCGCUAUCCACAGCGUGUUGAGAGUAGGUGACUAUGGAUCUCAUUAUAAGUUUGCCACGGAUGCCACAUAAUCAUAUUGUGGUUUCUAUCUUUGUGAAUCAAUUCUCGAAGCAACUUCAGUUGGCCAAGGUACACUUGGAUAUUGAUGCCCCAAUGCUUGCAUGAGUCUUCUUUGAUAUUGUCUUUUGUCACUAUAAAUUACCUCGUGUCAUUAUUUCAAAUUGAGAUUCAAUCUUCACAAAAAGAUUUUGACAAGCCUUGUUCAAGCUACUAGAUACAUGACUUGCCAUGUCUACAACCUUCUAUCCUCAAAUAGAUAGACAAAUAGAGUGUGCCAAUCGAACCUUAGAAGAUAUACUAUGGAUAUUUGUGGCAGUUCAUCAUAAUGAUUGAGAUGAAUAUUUUACAUCCUUGGAGUUUGUUUAUAAUGAUAGUAUUCAAACAAGUAUCAAUCAUUCACCAUUUUUUUUUAAUAUCGAUUAACAUUUGAUUAUGCCAACAAUUCUCUAUCGUCUCAUUGACACCAAUAACUUGACAAUGGAGGAAUUUAUACAAUGGCUUACAAUGGCCUUACAAUGGCCUUACAAGAGGCACAUGAGUACCUUGUUACUUCAUAGAAUUGACAGAAGUAGUAUGCAGAUAACCAUCGGCAACACAAGACUUUUAUUUUGCUCAUACCAUGCUUAGUCAGAAUUUUAUGAAGAUUUUUUAGAAUUUUAUUAGCAUAUUUUAGGAUUUAUUAGGAAUUUUUUAGUUUUUUUUAAGGAUUUUAUUAGAGCUACAUUAGAAUAUGAUUAAGAUUACUUAAAUUUUUUAUUUUUAAUAUUUCAAAUAGAUUCUUUAUUAUUUCUUUGAAAUUUUUAUUUUUAAUAUUUUUUUAGGAUUUUUUUUUUAGAUUUUUAAUUUUAGUAUUUAUUUAAUUUUUUAAUUUUUAUUAUUAUGAUUAAUUUAUGUUUUUUUAAAUAAUUUAUUUUAAGAUUUUUUUGGAUUUUAUUAAAAUUUUAUUAGAAUUAUUAAAGUUUAAUUGGAAUUUAUUUAGGAUUCUAUUAAACAUGUUAAAACUUUGUUGGUACAAUUUCCUAUUUAUCUUCUAUAAUUAGAUGCUUGGUAUAUUUUCAAGUAUGAAUUUACAUACUAUGAUAAUGGUAUGUUUUAAAUCUCUUACUAUGCAGAAAAGAACUUGUCAUUGUCAAGAAGUUUUGUGCUUAUAAUAUGAAGAUCUUGAGCAUACUUCUCAAAAUUGUUUAAAGAAACAAUGCAAUGACAAAAUAAAAAAUAUGGCUGUUAAAGAAGAUAAUAUGUUCAAAAAUAAUUUUUUCUAACUACAAUAGGAACCAUGCAAUUGGAAUCUUCUUCAAUACUUAGUAAAGGUCAUAUUUUUUCCUCAAAAUUCUCUUUUUAUUUUACGAUAAAUAUUUUUUAAGGACCUAAAAAUCACAAAGCCUUUAUUCUACUAUAUUUAAAAAUUUUAAUUUUUUUUUUCGAUGAAAAGUGUCUAAAAAGAUAUAACAUAUCUUUACUAGAGAAAACCAAACUUAUACAUGUAAAAGACAUAUAUGGUCGUUAGUGGUUUUUUAUAGAUAUAAUUUAUUAAAUUAUUCCUAUAAAAAUAGUAACUAAUGGUAAUAAUAGCUUUUUAAUAUUAAUAUUAUUAGAUUACCUUCUAAUCCAAUCAUUUUAGAUUUAUUGUUGAUAAAAAAAUAUAAUCUUUAGAUAGAUUGAAUUUCUUAUAGUCUUAAUUUUUUUCAAAGUACAACUAAGAGUUUUGUUAAAGAGUUAAAAUAUUAAAUUCUAAUAUAAUCAAAUUCUUGUUUUCUAGAUAUAAGAGCUUUUAUAUAUAUUAAAAAAUAAUUCAUAUUUUGUCAUUUAUGUCACAUCUAUUUAUGAUGGUAAAAAGACUUCAAGUAACAUUUCAAGCUAGUAUCAAGAUUAUGAAGACAUUUUUGAAAAGAAGAAUAAUCUUCCAAAGCGUAAUGUUUUUGAUUGCUCAAUAAGCUUUUAAGAAGGACCUCAAUUUUUAUUUUGAUUAAUCUAAAAUUUAUCAAGAAAUAUUUUGAUUAAAAAUAUAUUGAUAAGAACUUAAUCAAAUUUUUUAUACACCAUUCAAAAUAUCCAAUAAAAGCUUGUAUGAUAUUUUUGAAGAAAAAUAUGAAUGAAAGACUAUAUUUUAAAUUUAAUAUAGGCAUUUUGAAUAUAAUGUCAUACCUUUUAGACUUACAAAUGCAUUAGGUGCUUUUCAACAUCUUAUAAAUAAUAUUUUUUGAGAGUUUUUAGAUAAUUUUAUUAUUUAUUAUCUAAAAAAUACUUUAAUUUAUUCUAAAAGUAUAAAAAAAUCAUGAACUUCAUAUUUGUCAUGUGUUAUAAAAACUGAAAGAUGUAAGACUAUAUACCAUGAUAAAAAAUAAAAAUAAAAAUAAAAAUAUUUUAUACUACAAAAGUUGACUUCUUAAGAUGUAUCAUUUCAAAUGAUGGUCUUAUAAUAGAUCCUAAGAAAGUUCAAACUAUCAUGAAUUGAAAGAUUUUAAGAACCAUAAUAAAGAUCUAUUUUUUUAAAAAAAAUUAUCAAUUAUUACCAAAUUUUUAUCAAGAACUUUUUUUAAGUUCCAAUUUUAUUUACAUGUUUGAUUUGUAAAGAAAAAUUUGAGUGGAAUAAAGAAGCAAAAAUACCAUUUGAAGUUUUGAAGACAACUUUUAUUUUUGUUUCAAUCUUAUAUUACAUCAAUUUUAUUAAGGUAUUUUGUAUGAAAAUAGAUUUAUCAAAAUUUGUUUAAAGUGUGGUAUUGCCACAAAUAAGAAUAGAUAAAAUAAUCUAUCAAAUAGCUUUUUAUUCAAGAAAUUUUUUAACAUCUGAGAUCAACUAUAAGACUCAUCACAAAAAACUACUUGCAAUUAUAGAUUCAUUUAAAGAAUGGUGUCAAUAUCUAGAAGCUACUUUUUAUUGAGUUAUUAUUUAAAUAGAUUACAAGAACCUCAAGUAUUUUAUGUUAGCACAUGUUUUGAAUUAUUGAAAAGUGCAUAGAAAUAUAUUCUUGUUAAGAUUUCUAUACAAUAUCAUUUAUUGGCAAAGAUAAUAAUAAGGUUUGUUAGAUGAAUUUUUUAGACAUUCUUAUCUUACAUCAAAAAAUAUAUAAUUUUUGAUUAAUGAAAAGGCCAUAUGACCUUUUUGAACAUAUAUGACUUUUUUCAACCAUUAUCUAUACCAAAACAAUAAGUCUUUUAUUUCUAUGGAUUUUAUCAUAGAUCUACUUAUUUUAAGUUUUUAUGAUCUCAUAUUUAUAAUAGCAGAUUAUUUUAUUAAGAUGUUAUAUUUUCAACUAUAUACAAAAAUUAUUGCAAGUGAAAAAAUAUUUAAACUUUUUCUUCAUAAUAUUAAUUGAUAAUAUAAAUUACAAAUGAAUACUAUAUUUAAUAGAGAGAUUCAAUUUGUGUCAAGGUUUUGGAAAAUCCUUUUGAAGAUAUUAAAAGUAAAUAUAAAAUUAUAUUAUUAUUAUUAUUAUUAUAUUGAUAGAUAAAAAAAAAUUAUAAAAUAAUAUCUAAAAUAUACCAUUAAAUAUCAUUAAGAUUAUUAGACAACUAUUUUGCUAUUAGAAAAGUUUACUUAUAAUAAUAAGAUAUAUUUUUUUACUCAAUGAAUUUCUUUUUUACUAAGUAUAAUUAUCAUCUACAACUUGAUACCUUUUACUUCUAAUAAGUUGAUAAUCUUUUGGUAGAAGAUUUAAAAAAUUAUUUAUCAAAACUACAUACAACAAUAAAAACAUAAUUAGAGGAAAUACAAAAACAAAAAAUGAACAAUAUAAAUGCCUAUUGCAAAGAAAAAUUUUAAUUUUACAUUAGAAACAAGAUAUAAUUACUUUUUUGUAAUAAUAAGACUAAUUGCCUUUGUGAUAAGUUGAAUUAUUAUAGAUUUAGACCAUUUUUCAUUUGUAAAUACAUUAAUCCAAUUGCUUAUCAAUUACACCUAUCAAAAUCUAUAAAGAUCUAUCUCAUCUUCUAUAUGUUUCUUCUUGAGUCAUAAAAAAAUAUUAAAUAUCUUGAAAAGAAGAAAAUUUCCACCUCUUUUUAUAUAAGUAGAUAAUAAUCAAAAAAUAAAAUUAAAGUACUUGUUUUAAGUUACAUAAGAGUAUAUUAAGUUUUCGGUUCUUUGAUAUUCAUAUCCUUUAGAGUUUAAUAAAAGUGCUCAUUCAUUGUUCUUAUCUUAAUUAUAGAAGUAAGUUGACCACCUCAUUUUCAUUUUUGUAUUUUGAAGGUUGCAGACUACUCACCUUCAAUCUAACAUUUCAACUUCUUGAUAUAAUUUUUUCCUUAAAAAGAAUAGACUAUCUUUGCAAAAAAUUUCAUUUGAUAUUAGAGCUUGUGGAUUAUUCUCAUCUAAAUUAACUUAUAGAUUUGUUUGAAUUGUCUGUAGAAGUAAAAAUUAUAGAUGCUACUCUCAAAAAAAAUAAGAAUAGAUUUGCAACCAUUAUAUAUCUUCAGAAGUUUUUUAACACUCUUAAGAUAGAGAUCUCACAUAUUCUUAACAUCAACUAUAGAUAUAGUAUUCCAACACCUAUAGAAGAAGUCAAUAAUAAAAUUAAAAGUCUAUAUCAAGAAGUUGUGCAAUUGAAAAAAAUAAAUAGAUCAAAUUCAUAAUUAAAUCCAAGAAGUCUUACUACUAUAAGUAUGAAGGAGAUAAGGGUAAGUAUAUCAAAGAAGUUUUAGGAUUUAUAUAACAAAUAAAGAUCUAUCUAAUGUUGUAUUAUUCUUAAUAUCUUAAUAGAUUUAUUCAAAUUGGAUUCAUUUAAAUAAUUCUCUUUGAAAGUGUUCUUUCUUGAUUUGUACUUUUUAUGAAAAAAGAUUCACGGCUAUUCUAUGAUUUGAAUUUAUUUUUAGAAGUAUUUAUGGCUACAUUUGGAAAAAAUCAUCAAGAAAGAAUAUCAAAGACUAAGCUCAUAUCUCUGAAUAGAAUCACAUUUAGUUACCAUAUACUGUUGAAUUUUAAAAUCUUACUUGUAAUGUGGAUUGGAAUGAUAAAGCACUUAUCAAUUAAUUUUCAUAUAGAUUGAAAGAUAAUAUCAAACAUUUAUUAUUGAUAAUUUGUCAAAGAUAUGAAUCUUGAAAAAAGAAAAUCCUCAACAUAGUCUUGUAUCAUUGAAAGAAACUAAAAAGGUACUAAAAGAUGAUAUAAUAUUCAACUAGAAUAGCUAUUGAUAAAAAUAAGAAGACUAAAAAGAUGUGAAACAAGAUUAAGGACUAGAAAGGCAUUAAUAAGAAUGAAGAAGGCUUCACUCUUGCUUUCAUAUAUAUAUAUAUAUAUAUAUAUAUAUAUAUAUAUAUAUAUAUUCUCUAACCAAAAACUACGUGACAAUAUUCUAUAGGACCUCCAAUAUUUGUCGACUUUACUAGCCACAUGUCUUAACUUGCAAAGCAAGUUAUCUAUGUAUGCACUAUAUAAUUAGCUUAUUUCACAAGCUUCUUCAUGGAGUUAACUUAUUCUACAAGCUAUCAACACGUGGUUAAUUUAUUGGCUAAGUUUCUAACCUACAAUCACAUAUAAAGUCAAAACUACAUCUAUAAAGCUUCUAAGAAGCUUUUCUAGAAGACUUUAUGAAAUUAAUUUAUAUUUACCUACUUCUCCCUAAUCAUAUAAGUAACUAUUGAGAUUAUGUAUAUAUUCAUGAUAUUAAUCAUCCUUCUAGAGAUGAGUUUCAUGAGAAGUGGUUAUCAUCUUUCAUGGAUCUUUACAAUUCUUCAGCUUGGUUUUGAUGGAUGUCGUUAAUAAAAGGCUUCAAACUUCUUUGUUGAAUUUACAAGAUUCUUUACUGGUUCUUGUGUGUAUUUGCUAAUAUCAUAUCUAUGCCAAUGAAUAAGAUAUUCUAACCUAUUUUUGUACUGCCUUGAAUUUAAGACUUCUUCUACUUCGAACUCUUGAUUAUUAUCCACUUCUAUAGAAAGUGGUGGCAUUUGCCUUCUUCUUGAGAUAUUAACUAUCUUAUAUGACUAAAAAAAGGGAUAUGUGAAAUACAAGGUGGAUCUUUAUAAACUUCGGUAGAUGUAAUCGAUAAGCAAUAGAAUUGAUUUGUUUACAAAUAAGAAAAGUUUCCAGCCUACGAUAGUCCAACUUAUCACAAGGACAAGUAGUCUUGAUAUUGUUAUGAAGUAAUCAUAUCUUGUCACCUACAUUGAAUUAUAGUUGCUCCUUAUAAUAGGCAUCGACAUAGGUCUUUUUUCAUUCUUGAGCUCCUUAAAUUAUGUCUUCAUUGUUGCAUGUAGCUCUAACAAAUAAUUUGCUAAAUCUUUUGCUAUAGGAUUAUCAACUUUUCAAAAGUCAAAAGCAUUAAGUCAUGGAUGAUAACCUUAAUUGGCAAAGAAAGAUAUUUAUUGAAUAGAAGAAUGUAUCAAAUUAUUAUAUGUAAACUCUAUCAAUGGCAAAAAAGUUGUCCAAUCAUUUUGAUGUUAAUUGAUGGUACACCUCAAAUACUGCUCCAAAACUUAAUUCAUCCAUUCUGUUUGCUCAUCAAUUUGAAGAUAAAAAGCUGAAGAGAGCUUUAUAUCCACUUUUAGAAUCUUUAAUAGGAUUCUCCAAAAUUUUGAUAUGAAUUGAGUCUCCUUAUUCAAUAUAAUAUUCUUUGACAAUCCAUGAUAGCAAUAGAUAUUGUCAAUGAAAAGCUUAGUUAUUUCUUCUCUUAAAAUAGAUUUUAUACAUAUUACAAAAUAUGCCAUUUUUGUGAAGCAAUCUAUAAUUAUGAAUAUAGCAUCAUAUGAAUUUGAACUUGAUAGAUCUAUAAUGAAAUCCAUAGAGAUGGAAGAUCAUGAUUGUUUGAAUAUAAGCAAUGGUUGGAAAAAUCUAUAGCAUUGAUGACGAGGAGUUUUUGAUCUUGAACAAAUGUCACAUAAUUAGACAAAGUCUUUUACUACUUUUUACAUUUACAACGACCAAAAAUCUCUAAAUAUAAUCUCUAAAGCUUUAUUGUGUCCAAAAUAUUCUAUUCUUAGAAAGUCAUGAUGUGCUUGAAGAAUACGUAAAUGUGCUUAUUCUUUUAGAACAUAUAAGCAUUUUUCAAAGUAGAGUAGGUUGUUUUUGAAUCCAAACUUUGAAAUACCAUAAGACUUAGAAGAAAGAUUCUUGAUAUCAUGAACAAGAGAAUCAAAGGACAUACUUGAUUGAAUUUGUUUUAGAAAGGUCAAAUCAACAGUUAAUGUUGAUUUCAUUACUCGAAGAUAAAAAUACUUUGACUUCAAGAGGAUUAUUUUUUAUUGAUCAAAAGAUACGUCUCCUUCUUUUUGUGCAUGGUAAGAAUGUCUAAAAAGAACAUCUCAUAAACCUUCUUGUUUUUCAAGUCAAUGUCAAGGACAUACACUAGGAAGUUGUAGAAGUUUCUAGAAGGUUCUAAAAAAGCUUUGUAAUUUAUAGAAGCUACUUGAAAAGUUUUUAAGCUUGUGGAAGUUGCUUGAAAAGCUUCUUAGCUCAUGGAAGCUGCUUGAGAAGCUUCUUAACUUAUAGAAACUGCUUGAGAAGCUUCCAAGUUUUAGGAAGCUACUUAUAAAGCUUCCUAGCUUGUAGUGUAUAUAGGAGCUAAGAUUGAGGAGAUCUUUAGUCUCGACAACACAUCUCUUAGAGCUCUAGCUCACCUCUCUAGUCUUGUUCUUACACUCAUCUGAUUAAUCUAGUUCUUUUCAAUUCUUCUUGAGCUUCUUGUUUAGAUUUCUACUUAGUAUUCUAAAUUCGUAACAGUUUGUUGAGACUGCACUCGUCUUUCAUAUGAAAGCUACUUCUUUCUUGUUAGAAUGUGGAUUAUCCCUCUACUUGAAGAUGUUGGUAUUUUAUAGGUUGCGGAUUACCCUCCUCUAAACUGAUAUUUCUUCUAUUAUAAUAUUAGAGUCUUAUCUUUCUUGGAGAGAGUGAAUUAUCCCUCUUCUUGAAGGUUUUAAGCUAUUUUAGAGGUUGCGGAGUACCCUCCUCUAAACCAAUACUACCUUCUUGUAGAGUCAUCUCUUUCCUUCUCUUAGAAUGGUCGGAGGUAAGGAUAUUAGUAUGACUAAAAGUUUGGAGUCCAAGUUGGAUGCCAUUAUGAAUGCUCUUGCUACAUUAUCACAGAGAAUUAUAGAGAUUGAAGGAGUUGUUGCAAGACUUCAUAAUGAUGGAGCAUCCAAAAUGGCACAAUUGAGGAUUUACUAGCGUUAAGUUUCAAUACCAAGAGAAGCAGCUUUGCCUCUAGUUCAACAAUGACCGUUGGUCUUACGAUGAAAAGAGUCUCAAAUUAGCCUUCUAGACAAGUUUGAAGGUACGCAUUCCAAGUUUUAAGGUUUUGACAAUCGAAUUAGAUUGGUAAUAGCUUUACAGCUCGAAAGCUAUCCGAUGAAGAAGUCACGUUGUCGUACUGUAAUUACUUACAGUAUGUAAAAAUUAGUGAAAAUAUGUAAUAUGUUUAUAAGUCUUAAUGUGAGUUAGAAUAGUUAGUAUGUUAAUUUAAAAUCAAUUGAAAUAAGAAAAAUUAUUUGGAAGUUAAUCUAGUUUGAUUAUAGAUUUUAAAUUAUAUAGGAUUUAGAUAGUUAGUAUAAAGAUUAAGGGAAGGGAGGAGUUAAAAGAUGAAAAUAUAACUAAAAGGAGGCAUAUUGGGAAGGAUGAAAGUAAGGCAUGGUUGGAUGAAGGCAAGGGGUGAAGAACUUCAUCCCUAUUGGUCGAAUACCAUGCCCAAUGGGCUUUGAGGAGGCUGCCCGAGGCCAUAUUAGAGAUUAGGGUUCCUCUUUCAAGGCCAUUUGAGCUUUUGAGGCUAGGGUCAGAAGGUUUAGGGUUUUGGGUAUAAUUUGGGUGAAGAUUUUGUGUGAUUUCGAGUUUUUAUGGGAAAGAUAUGAAUGUUCAAAGAUAAGGUGUCAAUUUCAUACCUACUGUCACUUCUUUUGGGCAUCACAUACGAAUACGGAGAGCAACGGAAGAUCGGCGACUGGAUUUGGAGGGAGAAUUUUCUCGGCUACACAUUCUACUUACUAUAUAGUGAAUUCUAAGAUUAGGUGAAGGAUUUAUGAGGCGUUGAAGACAGCACUUGUAAUUUGAAGGCAGUAAGUAUAUCGUUUUGUUGCUAGUUAUGGGUGAAGCCAUAUCUUGAGUUUCUAGACGAAUUUUUGGCUCAAAAUUUCCAAAAGUGUGUGUAAUUGGGUUAAAAAGCUUUAAAUCAAAGUUUCAUAGUAUUUGAAUAAUUACUUUGUGAGAUAUGAAGGAAGUUGUACAUGGGUGUAAAAAAGCUAGGAUUUGAAGCUACAGUUAGGGUUUUCAAGAUAUCACAAGAUCCAAGACGAAUUUACAGUUGAAUUUUGGUGUGGUAGUUGCUAGAGAUAUAUCAGUACUCCAUGUAAAAUUUGGAGUUGUUUAGACGGUUAGAUCGUAAGUUAUGAGCUGUUGAACUUCGGAAAAAAUUCCUCAUAAGGAUAUAUAAGUUUUUUAUAACACCUUAUCAAGUAUUUUGGUGUUCUUUGGAUUUUAAGGCUUGUAUAUUGAUGUAAUUGCUCCAAAAGAGAGGAGUUUAUAUAUAUAAAAUUGUUACCCUUAUAUUUCAAACUCGAUUGAGUAUUUAGUGACAGCCAGAAGCCCAGCGCUUUCUUGAGGCAAACUCUCUCUACCCCGACAACGUAUUGGACUGGUUGGAACUUUGCUCACAAGACAAGUUCUAUCAUGGUUUGCUCUUUUGUUUGAAAAAAGAUCAUCAAUUUUGAAUAACUUCGAAACUUUUUUAGAAGCGUUUGUGGAAACAUUUGGCAAACAUGACAAGGCAUGAUAGGCUACAACAAAGAUCCGAUCGCUACGACAAGGGAUACGCUCUGUGUCAGUCUAUGCAUUAGAUAUCAAACAAUUAGCGUGCAACAUCAACAGGGACGAGGAAGCAUUGAUGAGUCAAUUUUAUUGGGGCUUGAGGGACGAUGUGAAGGAUUUGUUAUUAUCUCUUUCCGAUUUGCAAAUGCUCAACAAAGCCAUUAGCUAAGCCGUUGUCGUGUUAUAACACGAGUAUACUGUGAAAAUAUAAAGAAAGAGGACUUUUAUUAAUAUUUAGUUACCUCGAAUAUUGGGGGCAACGACUAAUUCCAAUGCAAAUACUGGGAGGCCAGGGUCAGUCACCCCAUUACAAUCAGCCUGAGCAUACUGAAAUGCUCUGUUCGAUUCCAAUAACGGGAGUUAGCAUAAAAGGAAAAGGACCAAUUCAACAACGGGUGAGUCUGGUUCGAAGAGCCAAUUGGAUUCAAUUUCAAGACAUCCAAUCUAGGUCUUACUAUGGGCCUCUCAGCCAAUCUGACGCGAAGGACCAAUUUGACCCAGUUACAGAAACAUCUAGGUCUUACUACGGGCCUCUUAGCCAAUAUGAGACUUGAAUUGGUCGGGCGACUCAAUGUGGUCCCGAUUACGGGGUUUUGAUUCUGUUUCAGGCUGUCCUGUUCUGUGUGCCGUUUCAAGGAACGUUGUUUUCGGUAAAAGGAUCUCUUAAAGGUAAAAACAGAGGAAAAUGCUCUGGUGGCGAGAGCCAAUUUCAGAUCCAAGCUCUAACGGGGGGAGCAAAUUUCGGAUCCAAGACGGAAGAUUGAAGAAAUUCAGAAUUAAGGUUAAGAAAUGGAGGGAGAAGGAAUAAGUUUUUUUGGGAUUUUGAAGGAUCGAGAGAGCUAGCUUCAUGCUUCGGGCGGGAAAAAAAGACAGCGAAUUGGAUAUUUUUUUUCUUCAUAGGAUUUUGGGAAGAUUGAGGCAAUCAUUGUUGAAGUUAGUGUUGUAAUGGUGAAUCGAGAUUUUUAAUGAAGUGGCUUUGAUUCCUCUUGAUUGUUUUGUGAAAUCGAGUUAUGUCUGUGAUUAAGAAUUAGAAGGGUGUCUAUAGGAUUGAAUAUGCAGAGUGAAUGAAAUUUAUUGGGUUAAUCUAACGAGACAGUUAGCGGAUACAAGAUCAUGAGUAUAAAGCGGUACCGAUGUCAUACUACGUGCUUUCCUGCUCGAGAACGCGCCUGACGUUUGGCUGUAGAAGGUACUAUGAAGAUUCGCCAAUAGUCAAGCAGUCUAUCAGUUUUUGACUGUUAGAAUAUAAACGACUGCAAGAAUAUACCGUAAAUCUAUACGGAUGCCCCUUCGACUGCUCGCCGAAGUCCUUUUUGUCCCGGCCGGUAGAUCUCUAAACGAUACAGAGAACCCCGAACAAUCCAAACUGUUAAUCUUCAGUACCGCUUUGUACUUACAAUCUUAUAUCUACUGACUGUCUUGUUAGAUUAACCCAAUAAAUUUCUUUCACUUCGCAUACUCAAUCCUAUAGACACAAUUUUAAUUCUUUCAAUCUCAGAUGUAACUCGAUUUCACAAAACAGUCAAGAGUAAUCAAACCCACUUCAUUAAAAAAAUCCCGAUUCACCAUUACAACACUAACUUCAGCAACGAUUGCCUAAGUCUUCCCAAAAUCCUAUGAAGAAGAAAAACCCAAUUCUUCGUCUUUUCUUCCCCGACCUAAAGCAUGAAGCUCCUCUCCAAUCUCCCCAAAAAAUCUCCCCACCCCCCCCUAAACCUUAUCCUCUGAAUUUCUUCAAUCUUCCGUCUUCGAUCCGAAAUUGGCUCCCCUCGUCAGAGCUUAGAUCCAAAAUUGGCUCCCGCCAUCAAAGCUUUCUUCUCCGUUUUUACCUUUAAGAGAUCCAUUUACCGAAAACAACGUUCUCUGAAACGGCACAGAGAAUAGGACAGUCUGAAAUAGAAUCGAAACCCCGUACUCGGGUCUACAUUGAGUUGCCCAACCAAUUCAGGUCUCAUAUUGGGUAAGAUGCCCAUAGUAACCUGGAUGUUCACGUAAUUGGGUCGAAUUGGUCCUCGCGUCAGAUUGGCUGAGGCCCAUAGUAAGACCUGGAUUUUCCCGUAAUUACACUGUAUUGGGUUGCCAGACCAAUGCAGGUCUCAUAUUAGAUAAGAGGACCCGGAUUGGAUUCUUGAAAUUGGAUCCAAUUGGCUCUUCGAACCAGGCUCACCCGUCGCGUGAAUUGGUCCUUUCCCUUCCUGCUGAUUCCCGUUAUUGGAAUCGAAUGGAGCAUUUCAAUAUCCCCCGGCUGACUGUAAUGGGGUGACUGAACCUGACCACUCAGUAUUUGCACUGGAGUUGGUCGUUGCUCCCAAUAUUCGAGGUAACUGAAUAUUAAUAAAAUUCCCUUUUCUUUAUAUUUUCACGGUAUACUCGUGUUACAACACGACAUCCACCCCUUUUAAACCUGUGCAUCCUCCGAUAUGCACCAAUUUAUCCAAUUGCUGUUUGAUUCAGAAUAUAUCCUCUACGUCUUUGCCCAAUUCGUCUUCGUCACCUUCAUUAUCCAAAUCACUUUCAUCUUCUUGCUGCUGAAUCUCUAUACCUUCAUUAAGGUCUUCCAUAUUCAUCUCUGCGUGUCUUCGUUUAAAUAUUUUUACUCGCUUUCCUGCAAUUGGUAUUUUCAAUUUUGUACCAUCUAACUCCCAUAAUGAGUAAGUCGCAUUAUCAUGAACAGUUGUUACCACAUAUGGUCCAAACCAACGUUUUGAAAAUUUCCGCAAAGUACUAUGUUGAUUAUCCAGACUAUUGUCAUAAACAAGUACCCAGUCACCUUUCUCGAUUGCUUUUGGUCUCAAUCGAUGUUGCUUAUCGAAUCGCACCUUGUUUUGUAACCUUGCUCUUUUUAACCUUUCCAAUGCUAUCUGCACAUCUUCCAUUCUUUGCUCCAAUUGUCCAAUCCUAAUAGCCAGAAGUUCUUUUCUUGUCAAUCCAUCUUCCCAUGGUAGCAUACUCCAAGUAAGUACCUUUUCUUCAAUCAACAUAAUUGGUUUUUGACCUGUCAUAAGUUCUACUGGCAUAUAUCCUAUCACCGAACUAUGUGUUGUUCGAUCAGCCCAUAAUGCAAAUGACAAAAACCGUGGCCACUCUUUAACUUUUCCAUUACAAGCUUUAACUAAUGCUUUCACAAUCGGUGGGUGACCGUGUUCGCUUUUUACAUUCCCUUCUCGAUUAUAAGCAGUAGUCAAUGAUAGUUUAACUCCACAUCUUUCAAAGAACUUACGAGCUUCUUGUGCAUUUAAUUCUCCACGAUCUGCAGUGAUUUUUCUUACGCAUCCGUAGUGGCAAAUGACAUCUUCAAGCAAAAACCUACAAAUCUCCUCUGUAGAUUUUGUCCUCAAUGCUCUUCCUUCUACUUGAUUUGAUAAAUCUUCACGAGCUAAAACCAAAUAUCUCAUCUUCCAUAACCCAACCGGCAUAAUAACCAAAUCAACAACCCAUUUAAAAUGAAUAGCCAGAGGAUACGUAGGAUGAAGACCAUCUCGAUGUCGGAUAUUAGAAUAUGAUUGACAGAUUUCACAUGACUCUACAAAUGAGAGCACAUCUUGAUACAUAUUUUUCUAUCAAUAUCGUUCCUUGAAUUUAGCAAAAGUAGCCCAGAUUCCUCUAUGCCCUACCCAUAAACUAUCAUGAAACUCCUUUAAUAAUUUUAGUUUUUCUUCCUUUUUGCCUAUCACUCGUUGUGGCAUCCCAAUUCCUUUCUUCGGUCACUUCCAUAAGAAUCCAUCUCAAAGUAAAAAUCCAUAUGCUUUUUUUCUUAUUUAUUUGAAUUUUUCUGUAGACCAAUUCCCUUGCUUAGUCAAGGUAUUCAAGUAAUGACUAAUAUCCAAUAAUUCUCCUUCAUAAGAUUCUUCAAGAAAUAGCUUGUCUUCUCUGUUGAGAUUUGAUAUUGAAUAGAAUUUCAAUCCGACGUCAUCAAUGUCUUCAACCAUUUCGUCCUCCCUCUCGUAUCUUGCUCGAGAUAGCAUAUCUGCUACUAAAUUGUCCUUCCUAGUAAUAUGCUUAAAUUUUGGAUUUAGUGACUUAAUAUAAGCAAUCCAUCUCAACAUUGCAAUAUGUGGCGUUGAACAGUUAAUAAUCAUUCCAAGCAAUGGCAAGCAAUCUGUUUCAAUUACUACAACUGCCCCAAUCAAAUAGUCCUUUUCAGCUUUCAUAGCCGAAACGACUCCCCAAAGUUCUCUUUUGACUUGCCAAUAUGCACGCUGACGAAUACUUAAAACUUUAGCCCCAAAUCGAACAGCAAAUCUACUCCCAUUUGAAUCAUCUUGACCCACAGCCCAUCCAAUGGCAAUUGGACUAGCGUCCAUAGUAAGAAUCACUGGUCUAUUGCACUUAUAAUCAACCUUCCUCAAUAUUGGAGGUGACAUCAAUAAUUUCUUCAAUCUUUGCAUUGCCUGAAUAUGCCUUUCUUCCCAUUUAAAUCGGUAGCCCUUGCGUAACAGUUCAUAUAAUGGAUCCGCUAUGUGAGCAAAAUGAAGGAUCCUGAUUCGAUGAAAUACACAUGCACCCAAAAACCUGCGAACUACUGUUAAAAAAUCACAAUCCUCUUUCAUCCUUCCAAUUGCAUCAACUUUAGUCAGAUCUGGUUUUCUUCUGUAAGAUCCACAUAAAUGUCCAACAAUUACAACCUCUCAUACUCCAAAUACGGACUUCAUACCCGAUAAUGUAAGAUGAACUUCUCCAAGCCGAGUUAAAAUCUUUUCACAAUCUUGUAUAUGAUCAACAACAUAUUUGCGACACCUCCUCGUAUCUAAAGUUUCAUCCUUGUCUCCUUCUCUAUACCCUUUUAUAGGAACAUCAUCCAGAAAAGGCAUAGUCUUUUCCGGAAUAAAAUCUCUCAAUACCUUAUUCAUCCCAUUCAUCAUAUGCGCAAUUGAGUUGGUCGCGCCUUGAGGAAGAGUGCACAUUCUAACCAAUCCAAGUGGUGUCCUCAUUGUUGUCAUAUCUCUACUUCCUUCGGUAAGUUGAAAUUGAUCAUAACCUGAAUACAAGUCACCCAUUGAAUAGAUCGCCCUUCCAGCAAACGCCUCAGCAAAUUCAUCCACAAUAGGUCCAAUUCCUGCAUUUCUGACAGUUACUGCAUUCACCGGUUGCAUAUCUUGAAUAAACUGUAGUGACCCAUUCUUCUUAGGUACCGUAAACCAUUGACUAGAAUACGGCGCAAAUGAAGGUUUCAAUAUUUUCAUCUUUAUCUUUUCUUUUAAUAGUUCCACCAAUUUAGGUAAAUGUGCGCUCGAUACUGGAAUCGGUCUUAGAUUCCAAGGUACAUGUGGUACAAUGAAGAUAACCAUAGGCGUUACAAUAUUUGGAUCCACACACCCAAUUUCAUGAGAUUCGAAGGCAAACGAUCUACCUUGUUUAGCAAACAUUCUUUUGAAGCAAGUAAUUUCUUCUGGUAAUAAAGAACCAUCAGAACCAAUCUUCAAUUCUUCAAAAGUCUCUCUAGUAAACUGGUGUCCAAUACUCAUUGAAUCUCUUAAAUUUGCUUCAUUUGAUGCUUCUCCCAUUUGUUCUUUAGAAUCCUCUCGUAAUGGUCCGGCAACAGGCUUUACCUUCUUAUCUGCCGUUUUAUAUCUCAUCUCUACAGUGACUUUUGGUGCUUGAAAAGAUUCAAGUAUAGUAUAAAUCUCUCUUGAAUGAAUCUCAACAAUCUUAUCAUUAUCCCCUAACCCAAUAGAUGUAAUCAAUUCCAAUGAAUCUUCCAGUCCAUUUUCUUCAUAAACACCUAAAAUCCUCUCAUCAUCUUGCAAUGUACCUAACUUGCAUAAUUGUCCUUCAAUAUCAUAUAAUCUUUUUCUUUCUUUUCUUUUAAAAUCAUCAACUUUCUUAUACAUAAUAUUUCCAUUCUCCAAUAUACCAAUAAAACUCGCAUCAAAGGUAUCUUCAUCUUGCGAGAGUACCUCCUCUUUUGUACCUCCAUAAUCUUGCUUUACAGUGGUACCUCCCCAAAAUCCUUAAAUCCUUCAACAAUCUUUGGCAAUGGUUUCUCCUUCAACCUAUCUCGAUUCCGUUCAUGGUUAGGAGGUACUGUUAGAAAUUGUACAGCUUUCCUUCCAUGUUCGCUACGUACCCUUGCAUAAGCAGAACCAUCGUCAAGUACCUUUGUUUCCAUCCGUGUUGCCGUGAUAUAAGGUUGUCCUAAAACCAACGGAUAAGACGUUGUAUCUUGAACAAAGAAAUGUUGCUCCGUGGCAACAUCCCCAAUCCAAAUUUUGACAUUUAAACAAGCUCCAUAUAAUUCGCCCCGUGUGUUAUUAGUCGCUCGAAUUGCCCAUCCAUGUUCCAUAUCAAUUGGCCAUUUUUGCUUCUUAUCAAGAUCUUUAGACAUAAGAUUUAUUUCAGAACCAUGGUCGACUAAAGCAACUAUUGGUUCUUCUAUAUCUCCUACUUUCACCAAUACCUCAGUAGUUGCCCUUGCCCAAUGUUUUCGAGUAUAAUGGCUCAAAGUUUCCAUUUUCUUGUCACUAGAAUCUUCAAAACGUACUCGCUGAUUAUACCCAUUCUUUUCAUUUGUUGGUUGCUUGUAACUAAUAUCAACCUCUUCUUCAUCUUUAUAUAUUCUUGCAUCAAUAGCUUGACUCAUUCCAGUUUUGCCCAUUAAUUGCCUCUUUCGCUUAAUGCUAUCAAUGAUGACAUUAUGAAACUCCUUCUUUACAAUUCCCAAGACUUCUUUCAAUGUGAAUUCUACCUUAGCAUUUAAUAUACGUUCUUCCAACAUCCCUUUCAAAUUUGUUGCCGCUUCAAUGUCAGAAAGUAGCUUAUAAGCAAUUGAUUUGCCCUUAUCUUUUGUCUCCUUUGUUUUUUCUCUCAAUGAUGCUGAGGUAUCCUUUACAGGCAAUUCUUGUGAAGCUGCCUCCUGAGCCUUGUCUCCUCGAGUUUGCCUCUUAGAAGAAUUUCCUUUUCUAGUAUCAUCAAAAUUUUCUCGUCUCUUUUCUUCCAUCAAAGCUUCAUGUUGGCUCUUACCAAUAUAUGCAUGAAUUGAAAGAGACUCAACAGGAUCCUCCCAACCUGUUCUUCCUCGUAUUGUAGCUGCAGUUCUCAAUAACGCUUCUCGAGGUAAUUUCCCUUCUUGCAUUGUAGAAAUGGCAGAAGCCCAAAACUCACUAGUUUCCGUACUUCCACCAAUUUCAUCAUCUACUCUAGCACCAUAACUUGCACUUUCUCCUGCUGUUGAUUCAUGCUCUUUUAGGUAAUCUUGAACCAAUGCUCUCAUUCCUCCCUUGCCAAAAUUGGUUUGAAGAAGAUCCUCUCUAUUUUUCAAUGCUAUCUUUCCAUCUUUCCAGCAAAUAAUUCCCUGCCGUAUCAUAUUAUUAAAUUCAUUGCAAUCUUUUCUAGUGUGUGAAGCAUCAUCACACCAAAUGCAUCUUUGUACAUAUCCUUGUUUUGAAACAUUCUUCGAAUUGUUUAUAGAAGUAUUCUCUUCAAGUCUUGCCAAUUUGAUUUGAAGAUCUCGUAUUCCUCGUAUAAUUUCUUCCAUUUCCAUAUCUGCUUUCUUUGAUAAGGAUGUCGAAGGUUGAACUGUAGGCAUUGUUGGUGGUGUUGUACGUACUAGAGCUUUGGGUGCUUGUAAUGUUUUCGGAAUAUUGCUCCUAUCCUUCCUCCUUUCUCUUUUUGUAAGCAACCCCACCACAUCUUCAAUGUCCUUCCACUUUGUUGUCAAUCCUUCAUCUUCUUCUUUGUCUUCAAGAAGAAGUUCUAAUUUUCCUUGUAAUUCUCCAUCAACAGCUUGAAGAAAUAGAUCAACUUUGUUCAGCUCCAAUGUCAAUUUUUCUACCUUCGACAAUUGAGAGUACUGCCUCUCAAAUUCCUUUAGUAACUCUGUUGCUUACAAAUUCUUGUUGGGCCGUUCAAUCCAUUCCAGAAACAGCUUCUUAGUAAUGCGAUCAGCAUCUUCCAAGAAAUAUUCGUCUUUCAAUGCAUGUAAAAAAACCUCCCAUGAAUUCCCAUAAUGAUUUGUAAUCGAUGUAAUGUAGUCUCUUAUCUCCUGUAUCGUCGCAAGUCCAAAUAGUGCAACCAUUUUCUUCUCAGAAACCCGAUUUAAUUCCAUUUCAUGAACAUAAUAUCUUAAAUACCUUGAAAUAUUCGUUCCAUGAAAUUGAUCAAUUUUAUUGACCACUGCUUGCAAUGCUUUGGUUGCCAAAGCUUCCUUUCAAUCAUUACUUUGUUGUUGCUGCAUUGAUAAUGAGAAGGCUUGAAACAUACUAGCAAUAGACGGAUCCAUGUGCAUACCUUGUCCUUUAGAAGACUCCCUACCAGAAACUCCUCCCAAAAAUCCUUCAAAAUUUUUAUUUUCGUUUUCCAUAAAAUAAAGAUAAAAUCAACCGAAAUCCAAUACCUUCCACCUCAAGCUUUCACGUCCAGUUCACCACUUUUGUCAUAUUACGUGCUUUCCUGCUCGAGAACGCGCCGGGCGUCUAGCUGUAGAAGGUAGUAUGGAGAUUUGCCAAUAGUCAAGCAGUCUAUCAGUUUUUGACUGUUAGAAUAUAAACGACUGCAAGAAUACACCGUAAAUCUAUACGGAUGCCCCUUCGACUACUCGCCGAAGUCCUUUUUAUCCCGGCCGGUAGGUCUCUAAACGUUACAGAGAACCCCGAACAACCCAAACUGUUAAUCUUCGGUAUCGGUGUCCUAUUACAUGCUUUCCUGCUCGAGAUCGUGCCGCGCGUCUAGCUAUAGAAGGUAGUAUGGAGAUUCACCAAUAGUCAAGCAGUCUAUCAGUUUUUGACUGCUGGAAUAUAAACGACUGCAAGAAUACACCGUAAAUCUAUACGGAUGCCCUUCGACUGCUUGUUGAAGUCCUUUUUGCCCCAUUCGGUAGGUCUCUAGACGUUACAAAGAACCCCGAACAACCCAAUCUGCUAAUCUCCGAUACCGCUUUGUACUUACGAUCUUGUAUCCACUGACUAUCUUGUUAGAUUAACCCAAUAAAUUUCAUUCAGUCCGCAUACUCAAUCCUAUAGACACUCUUUUAAUUCUUCAAUCACAGACAUAACUCGAUUUCACAAAACAGUCAAGAGUAAUCAAACCCACUUCAUUAAAAAAUCUCGAUUCACCAUUACAACACUGACUUCAGCAAUGAUUGCCUCAGUCUUCCCAAAACUCUAUGAAGAAGAAAAAUCCAAUUCUCCGUCUUUUCUUCCCCGACCCGAAGCAUGAAGCUCCUCUCCAAUCCCCUUGAUCUUCAAAAACCUCUAAUAAAACCGAACUAGUAACCUUGCAAAGAGCUUGAAGCUAGCUCUUCGAUCCAAAAACCCCCCCCAAAAUUUAUUCUCCCCCUAACCUUAUCCUCUGAAUUUCUUCAAUCUUCCGUCUUGGAUCCGAAAUUUACUCCCACCGUCAGAGCUUAGAUCCGAAAUUGGCUCUCGCCCUCAAGGCUUAGAUCCAAAUUUGGUUCUCGCCGUGAGAGCUUUCUCUUCCAUUUUUACCUUUAAGAAAUCUAUUUAUCGAAAACAAUGUUCCCUGAAACGGCACAGAGAAUAGGACAGCUUGAAACAGAAUCGAAACCCCGUACUCGGGUCCACAUUGAGUCGCCCGACCAAUUCAGGUCUCAUAUUGGGUAAGAUGCCCGUAGUAACCUGGAUGUUUGCGUAAUUGGGUCCAAUUGGUCAUCACGUUAGAUUGGCUAAGGCCCGUAGUAAGACCUAGAUUUUCCCGUAAUUAGACUGCAUUGGGUUGCCCGGCCAAUUCAGGUCUCAUAUUGGAUAAGAGGACCCGGAUUGAAUUCUUGAAAUUGGAUCCAAUUGGCUCUUCGAACCAGGCUCACCCGUCGUGUGAAUUGGUCCUUUCUCUUCCUGCUGACUCCCGUUAAUGGAAUCGAACGGAGCAUUUCAGUAUCCCCCGGCUGACUAUAACGGGGUGACUCAACCUGGCCACUCAAUAUUUGCACCGGAGUUGGUUGUUGCUCCCAAUAUUCGAGGUAACUGAACAUUAAUAAAAGUCCCCUUUCUUUAUAUUUUCACGGUAUACUCGUAUUACAACACGACACCAAAGAUUAGCAGUUUGGGUUGUUCGGGGUUCUCUGUAAUGUCUAGAGACCUACCGGCUGGAACAAAAAGGACUUUGGUGAGCAGUCGAAGGGCAUCCGUAUAGAUUUGCGGUGUAUUCUUACAGUUGUUUAUAUUCCAACAGUCAAAAACCGAUAGACUAUUUGAAUAUUAGCAAAUCUCCAUACUACCUUCUACAGCCAGACGCCCGGCGCGUUCUCGAGCAGAAAAGCACGUAAUACGACACCGUGAAGUGUGAUAACGACAUGUUUCAAUGUCGCCAAGACCAACGCUCAAGACAACAUAUGGCUCACCAUAUUCCAACUAUGUCAACAAGCAGCCUAAAUUUACAUACAGAGAUAGAAGAUUUGCAAAUUGACACAGUUUGUGUCAAAUCUCUAACUCUAGAAGAAAAACAGUGAUGUAUGGAGGAAGGACUAUGCUUGUAUUGUACUAAAGAAGGCCAUAGAGCUGGAAACUAUCCCAAGAAGUAAAAUCAAUGCAUUGUCGGGACCAAAUGCUUGUUUGUUCACAAAAACAAAGAUACCCAGCCACAAUAAGGACUGUGCGGGUGGACAAUUCAAUACCACAACAACAAUCAAGUUCCUCUCUUUUCGCUCAGCUUGUCCAUUGCUUUAACAUUCCUUUAUCUUUUGGCCUUUAAAAACUAAAAACCUUAGUGUUAUUAGAUUCAGGAGCAUUUGCUUUCUUUUUAGACAAAGAAUUUAGUAACCAUCAUGAGCUUCUUCUAGUACAAAAAUCUAAACUCGUUCACAUAGAAGUAAUAGAUGGACGACCUUUAUUGUCUGGUAGUAUCACCCAUGAAUCAGAACCUAUAGAGGUGACGUUUAAAGACCAUAGUAGUUAUAUUAUUUUUAAUUUUAUUAGAACCUCGUCAAACCUUGUUAUUCUUGGUCUUUCUUGGUUAAAAAUGCAUAAUCCAUCCAUAGAUUGGAAGUUAUGAAGGAUGACAUUUCCUAUAGAAUAUUUUGAAAGUAAGCCUAUUAAAAGAUUUUGAAUCAAAAAAUCCUUAUUUAUUGGAGCGAGAGUGCUUAUAUUAUCAUCUAAAGAAGGUACACCGUUUUUCAUUUAUGCGACUCCAACUAGAAGAGAGAAGAUUUCAACAACAAAUAUAUUGGAGCAAUAUAAGGAUUUUGAAGAUGUGUUUCAAAAGAAGAAUGCCGACAUGCUACCAGAGCAUCGACCAUACGAUUAAACCAUAGACUUGCAGGAAGGAGCACAACCACUUUUUGGCCCAAUCUACAAUUUGUUGCAGAUGGAGUUAGUGGAGUUACGAAAGUAUAUUGAUGAGAAUCUAUCUAAAAACUUCAUUCAUUAUUCAAAGUCGCCAGAUGGGACACCAAUCUUAUUUGUGAAGAAGAAAGAUGGCUCACUGCGUAUAUGCAUGGAUUAUCGAGGUCUCAACAAGGUAACAAAGAAGAAUCGUUAUCCAUUAUCUUUGAUAUUAGGUCUUCUAGAGUAACUUGGGAGUGCAAGGAUCUUUACAAGGAUUGAUAUAAGAGGAGCUUACAACCUUGUAUGAAUUAAGGAAGGAGAUGAAUAGAAGACAACUUUUCGUACAAGGUAUGGCCAUUUUGAAUAUAAUGUCAUGUCUUUCGGUCUUAUCAAUGCUCCAGUGAUCUUUCAACAUAUGAUGAAUGACAUCUUUCGAGAGCACCUUGAUGAUUUUUUUGUCAUCUAUCUAGAUGAUAUUUUGAUAUUUUUCAAGAAUGUAGAAGAGCAUGAAAAACAUGUUUGUCUGGUCUUUGAAAAACUCCGCGAGCAAGGACUUUACGCCAAGUUAGAGAAGUGCUUGUUUAACCAAAUUGAGAUGGAAUUUUAGGAAUUCAUUACAACUAUGGAAGGCUUGAAGAUGGAUCGUAAGAAGGUGGAAGCAAUCGUAUCAUGGAAAGUUCCAAAGACAAUUAGAGAUGUACAAUGCUUUCUUGGCUUUGCUAACUUAUAUCGGAUCUUCAUCAAGAAUUAUUCUCAAGUUGCUGCUUUGCUCACUCGAUUGACAUGUAAAGACAAGCUCGAAUGGAGACCUCUAGUAAAAAAAGCAUUUCAAGAUCUUAAGACGGUAUUUACUAUGGCUCCAGUCUUGAUACAUCCAGACUUUACAAAGGCCUUCUAUUUGGAGAUCGAUGCUUUAGAUUUUGCUAUGGAAGUUGUACUUUUGCAGAUAGACACAAACGAGAAGCUUCAUCCAGUUGCGUUCUACUAUCAGAAGUUUUCUGCUAUUGAGAUCAACUAUGAAAUCCAUGACAAAGAACUUCUUACGAUAGUAGAUUCUUUUCAAAAGUGGCAUCACUUUUUCAAAAGAGUUGCGCAUCUGGUGACCUUAUAUACGGAUCACAAGAAUUUGGAGUACUUCAUAUUGACUCAGGUUCUGAAUCAACGUCAAGCUCGAUGGAAUAUGUUGCUAUCCAGAUUUGACUUUGUUAUUACUUAUUGGCUUAGAAAGCAACAAGGACUAUCCGAUGCAUUAUUAAAAAGAUCCUAUCUAGCACCAAAGGCUGGAGAAGUAGUUUUUGAUCAAUAGUGUACAACAUUAUUGAAAUUGGAACAAUUUAGGCUUUGCUCUACUAUAGUGCCAAUUGAUGCUGACUUCCUCAACUAUAUACGUACUGCGACUAUUGAAGAUUCUGUAGCCCUCGAUAUCACGCUGUCGUAAUGUAAAAGCUUAUAGUAUGUAAAAAUUAAUUAGAACAUAUAAUAUGUUCAUAAGUCUUUGUGUAUGUUAGAAUGGUUAAAUAGAUUAAUUUAAAGAGAGUGGAUUUAAGAAAUUUUAUUUUGAGUUUAGCUUUUUACUUAUAGCAUUUCAAAAAAAAAUUUAUAGAAUCUGAAUGUUUAGUAUGGAGCCUUGAGAGGAGAUUAGAGCUUAAAGAAGAAAUUCUUAACUAGUAGGAGGCUUAUUGGAAGGAAUGAAACGAAGGCAUGGUUGGAUGAAGGCAAGGAAUGGAAAACUUCAUUCCUAUUGACCGAAGGCCAUGCCCAAUGGAUUUCAAGGAGGCUACCCGAGGCCUUAUUAGGGAUUAGGGUUUUUCUUUCGACAUCAUUCGAGAUUUUGAGGCUAGGAUCAGCAAGUUCAAGGUUUUGGAUAUAAUUUGGGUGAAGAAUUUGUGUGAUUUCGAGUUUUUAUGAAGGAGAUAUAGGUGUUCAAAUUUAAGGUGACAAAUUUGUACCUACUGUCACUCUUUGAAGUAUAACAUAUGCGUACGGAGAGCAAUGAAAUUUCGGCGAUUAAAUUUGGAGAGAGCACUUUCUUGGCUAUACUUUAUAUAUAUUUUUUGACAAAUUCCAAGUCUGGAUAAAGGAGUUAUAGGGCAUUGAAGACAGCACAUGUAAUUCAAAGGCAGUAAGUGAGUCAUUUUAUUGAUAGUAAUGUUUGGAGCCAUAUCUUGAGUUCUUGGAUGAAUUUUUGGCUCAAAAUUUCCAUAAGUGUGAAUUAUUAAGUCAAGAAGCUAUAGAUCAAAGUUUCAUGGUAUUUAAGUACUUAUUUUGUGAGAUAUGAAGAAAUUAGCAUGCAUGUGUAAGUAAGCUGGGGUUUAUACCUAUUAUAAGGGUUUUGACAAUAUCUCAAGAUCUGUAACGAAUUUGUAGUUGAAUUUUUUUGUGAAAGUUUUUGAAAGUAUAUCAAUACUUCAUGUAAAAUUUAAGGUUUUUUGGAUAGUCCAAUCAUGAGAUAUAAGCUGUUGAAGUUCGAAAAACAUCUCUCACAAGGAUAUAUAAGGUUUUAAGUUCUUUAUCAUACAUUUGGGUGUUUUCUUGGUACUUGGGCUUGUGUUUUGAUGUAAUUGCCCCAAAAGAGAAAAUGUUACAUGUAUAAACUUGGUUUUUUAUAUCUUAGACUUAAUUGAGUAUUUAGUGGCAGCUAGAAGUUCAACGCUUUCUUGAAGCAAACUCUCUCUACUCCCACAAUGCAACAAAUCAAUAAUGACAAGUUCAAGGUGGAAGGAGAUCUUUUAUACUUUGAGGAGCAGUUGUAUAUUCCAAAGGGACCAGCACGACUCCAAGUUCUUCAAUCUCGACACAACUUUCUAACUGAUGGAUAUUUUGGAUUCAAUAAGACCUUGGAAUUUAUUUCUCGAGAUUUUUGGUGGUCCCAAAUGUGGAAAGAUGUCAAGGAUUUUGUCUUCUCCUGUGAUGUUUGUUCAAGAUUCAAGAAUGCUCGGCAUCAUCCUUAUGGUCUUCUUCAGCCAUUGCCUAUUCCAUGUUGGUCAUGGUCUUCAGUUUCCAUGGACUUCAUUAUGGACCUACCGCCAUCAAAUUCAUUUGACAAUAUCUUUGUUGCUGUAGAUUAGCUUACAAAGAUGGCACACUUUGUCCCUUACAAGAAAACAUCAUCAAGCAAAGACACAGUAAGGCUCUUCUUUGAUAGUAUGUAUAGAUAUCAUGGUUUACCACAUGAAAUCAUGUCGGAUCGAGGAACCCAAUUCAUAUCAAAGUUUUGGAGAUCUCUCUUUGAGAUAUUGAAGGUAGAUAUCAACCUUUCUUCGGCUUUCCAUCUUCAAACUGACGGCCAAAUGGAACGGGUGAAUCAAAUUUUGGAAUAGUAUUUAUGAUGCAGCAUCAAUUAUCAAUAAGAUGAUUGGACUACAUAUCUAUUGUUAGUCGAGUUUGUAUAUAACAACACCUUUCAUGCAUCCACUCAACAAACACCAUUCUUUUUCAACUAUGGGUAUCAUCCAAAGCUUGAUUUGUUGAGUCCGUCAACCAAUAACAACUUGACAGCUAAAAGAUUUGUGAAACAAUUAUCGAAGCUUCAAACUACAUUGAAGCUUCAAUUGCAAACCCUCGAAGAAGCUUAAAAGGCAUCUAUAGAUAAAUUUUGAAAUCAGACACCUACUUUCAAAAUUGAAGAUAAAAUAUGGUUGCUUUGAUGAAAUAUCAAAACCAAGUGACUAUGUGAUAAGUUGGACUACUAGAGAUUGGGAUCAUUUGUCAUCCAGAAGCAAAUUAAUCUAGUGGCGUACCAUCUAGGAUUACCGGCUGCUAUGAAGGUACAUUCAGUCUUUCAUGUUUCUUUAUUGGCAUCUUAUUGAGAGUCGUCUUAUUCUAAAAGAGUGCAAUGUCUGCCACCUAGUAUUGAAAUUGAAAAUCACAAGGAAUACAAGGUGGAAAAGGUACUAGAUUUGUGGCACAAGUGGAAAAAAUUGGAAUAUCUAGUGCAUUAGAGCGGCUAUGAUAUCAAUGAGCACACAUAGAAACCAGUGAAAAAUCUUAUCAAUGCAUUACAAAAGGUAUAGGAGUUUCAUUGAUACUAUCCUCAGAAACCUAAGUCCUUUCAAUGAAAGUUUUUCAGUGAAGUUCCAUCUCCUUGAAGCCUCUUAAUCCUCGACCUUAUCAAGAAGGGGGAGAAGGAACCUCUAAAAGACAUAGUUAGAGACUAUAAAUCUGUAACUUGAGCCCAUUCUUCCAUGUUUAGUGCUUAUUUUUUUAGUCUAAUAUAGAUAGCCAAGAGAUAGAUACCAUAUUAAUCAUGUCCUCUCAAUUGAGUAUGUCACAAAGACGACCCCGAGAUGAAGAACUGCUUGUACUACGAAGAUGAUAGAGGGUACUUAGUAAUAGGUCACUAGUGAUUGUAUUUGAGGUAGAACCUACCUAUGGUGAUCUUCUCAAAGGAGUGUUUGUAGGGCAUUUUCACAAUGAAGAUACGAAAGUUCAUGCCUGGUCAAAAAUCGAAGGCAUAGGACACUAUUGUUGGUUACAAGGACCAAUGAACUAUUUUUUGUGCUAACAAAAAUUGGAGAAUAUUACAAACACUAUGCGACAAAUUUUUAACUUCUUACAUUGGUACUGACUCGCAAUAGGAGUGCUUCUCGGAGACCUCAAAGCUAAAGGGAAGAGGUGAUGUCAAGGACAUACACUAGGAAGUUGUAGAAGUUUCUAGAGAAGCUUUGUAGUUUGUAGAAGCUACUUGAGAAGUUUUUAGGCUCGUGGAAGUUGCUUGAGAAGCUUCUUAGCUUGUCGAAGUUGCUUGAGAAGCUUUCUAAGUCAUAGAAACUGCUUGAGAAGCUUCCAAGUUUGUGCAAGCUACUUGAGAAGCUUCCUAGCUUGUAGUAUAUAUAGGAGCUAAGACUGAGGAGAUUCUUAGUCUCAAAAAUACACCUCUUGGAGCUCUAGCUCACCUCUCUAGUAUUAUUCUUGUACUCAUCUGAUUAAUCUAGUUCUUGUCGAUUCUUCUUGAGUUUCUUGUUUAGAUUUUCAGUUAGUAUUCUAAAUUCGUGAUAGUCAAUAUAUAAAUUUGAAAUCAAAUCUUCAUAAUGACAUACUCCAAUGGACUUAGCAAUGAUUCAAAAUACGUAACAAUAUGAAAUAUUUGAGGUUCUUGUGAUUUAUAUAUACUAUGAUUGGAUUUGAAGCGCCUUCUAGAUAAUGACACCAUUCUUAAAAUAAAUCCAUAAUUGCAAGAAUUUCUUUAUUAUGGAUCUUAUAGUUAAUCUUGCCUACUGAAAAAUUCUUGGAAUAAAAAGCUAUUGAAUGGAAUUUGUCAUUUGUUUCCAUUUGUGAUAAUACUAUAUCCAAAGUAAAAUUUGAUGCAUCUGUUUCCAUAAAGAAUGCCUUAGAAUGUCAAUGCGAUACAAAAUUGGUGCAGAAGUAAAUUUCUUCUUCAAAGCAACAAACAAUGCUUCAACUUUUUUAUUCUACUUAAGUUUGUCUUUACAAGUCAAAUGUGUAAGUGGAGUUGUAACUUGAGAAAAGUUCUUGAUAAGAUUUGAUAAUAAUUGGCAAAGCUCAAAAAGCAUUGCACAUCUCUUAUUGUUCUUGGAAACUUCCAAUCUAUGAUAGUUUGGACCUUCUUUACAUCUAUCAUAAGGCCUUCAUUGGAAAUGAUGUAUUCCAAAAAAUCAACUUGAGUAGUAUGGAAUACACACUUUUCCAUCUUUGCAUAUAAUCUUGUAUCUCUUAGUUUUUGUAACACACGACAAAUAUGAACUUCAUGCUCUUUUGUGUUCUAAGAAUAGAUUAAAAUAUCAUUCAAAUAAUAGAUGAUAAAAUCUUUAAGAAACUCAUGAAAGACAUCAUUCAUUAGAUGUUAAAAAAUAGCUGAUGCAUUUGUGAGUCCAAAAAGCAUGAUAUUAUAAUCAAAAUGUUCCUACUUAGUUUGGAAAGCAGUCUUCUAUUCAUCUCCUUCUUUGAUGUGGAUCAAGUUAUAUGCUCCUCGUAGAUCUAUUUUUGUAUAGAUAUUUGCUUGAUUUAAUUGAUAAAAAAGUCCUAAAAUUAUUAUAUUUUUUGUGUAUAAUUUGGCAAUUAAGACUAUCUAGAUAAAUAAUUUUAUUGGAAAUACAAUAAUUACUCUUGAAACACAAGAUUCUAAUCAUUUUUAUAAUUAAUAAUUAUAGUGAUAAUAAUAGUUAUUAUUUUUAACACAAUUAUUAUAAAAUGAUUUUUUCUUAUUUUUAUUGUCAUUCAAUAAAUUUCAUUCUUUUCUAUAAUUUAGAAAUAAUUGAUUUCUUUUAAAAGAAUCCAAAAUGAACUUGGUUUUUUCUUUAUUAAUAAUAAUUGAUUUUUCCAAACAAACAAGGAAUUACUUUGACUUCCUCUAAAUUGUCAUCUUUUAUGUUGUUCUAAUCUUGUCAUACAGAUGAUAUCCAUGGAAAAUUUGAUCUAAAAUCAUGGAAGUGGCUCCACUUCUUCAAGUCAAAAUAUAAUCAAAACAUAAUAUAAUAUAUUCUUGAAAAUAAUUUAAGGCUAGCACAAAUGUUGUUAUGAAAAUAAAUCUAAACAGAUACUUUUACGAGUAAAACAAACACCAUAAGAAAUAAGAAAAUAUAUCCAACUAAAGUAGUAUUCAAACAAAACAAGAACAAACAAACAAACAAACAAACAAAAUGUAUACAAUACAAGAGAAACCAAGAUCAUAAGAUAACUCUCAGCAAAUUCAAAAGAAAAAGACUGCUCUGUAACAAAUAUUAAGGUGAAUUACAAUCAGAUCGAACAAAAAUAUUAAAAAGAAAAUCAUGUUAACAAUUUACUCGGUUUGGGUUACAUGAAGAUUGGAAGAACAUCUUCAAAUCCCAGCAUGCACCGGCAAAAAUUCUAAACUCUUCUACCAACCAGUAAAAAAAUAAAAAUAAAAAACAACCUCAGUUUGAUUUGGCGAUACACUAUUCAUUUCAACUAAUACUUUCACUUUAAUUCCGUUGCUUUACAACCACAUUCUUUCGCAUUCCAGGGCCAAAAUAUCCCCCCCCCCAAUCCAGUCACAGCUCCACAUCACCUCAAGGACCAGAACAACUCUGAGAAAACAAAGCACCUUCACAUUCUACGCGAAAGGGAGCAAACAUAAAACAGGCACGUGCGUGCAAUUGGAAUGGGGCCGAGACUACGCCCCUUGCACAAGAAGCAUGAAUAAGAAUACCAACUGUGCAUCCAGAAAAUCCCAGAACCCAUUAGAAACGAAACACAGACAGAGAUGAGGAGACCGGAAGCUGAAAUGAAAAAGACGGCGGGCCCAGCUUGGAUGUGACCACUCACCAACCAAAGCAUAUGCCGCACAUUCAAGGCAGGGCAGCUCGGGGGCUGGGAGGGAGGCAGCUUGUGAAAGGAGACCCGGUCCAAGGAAUGCGUGACGCAGUAAUACCGCCACGGAUCGAGGAUACCGCCAACUCUGUGAUUGGGCGCCCCCACCUCACCCCCGGCUUCCCCGGCUCCUUCCUGGUCCUGAACCCGACCCGACCCGGCCCGCUGCGCCCCCACCCUGCCCCCACGGAUGGCUAUGCCAUGCCCUCUCUAGAACUGGGGUGCCACUAAGUUACUGGUGCUGGUGGAAGUGCCAUCAUCCAUCGUCAUGGCCAUCAUCCAUCGUUAUGGCCAUCAUCCAUCGUCCUUCCUACCUUCCUAUGUACCGUGCCCCCCUAGCCUUGAAGGGCAAGCUAACAACCUCAGCGAUUCAUCCCCCCCCCCCCCUUUGGUCAAUGGAGCGCCCUUGACCGCAAACAAGCAAAAUCCAGACAGACAGGCUCCCGUCCGGACUCUCUCUCUCCUCUAUAAGAACCCCGUGGCGGUAGAGCGCUGCAGUCAUCCGAUUGAUUCUCCUGCUCCUCCACCUCCUUCACCCAACAAGUGUUGUGUUGCUCGCGGAGUGACUAGCUUACCGUUCUUUCAUUCUCUCUUGCGCGGAUCGUUUGGUUGCAUUCAUUCGUCGAUCGCAGGCUCAGAGUCCGAAUUCCAACAAUGGCAGCGGGUCACGGUGUUUCUGUGCAGAGGAUGGGCAGGUCGCGGAGGGCUGCCCCCAGACGAGGCCAGGUGAAGGCUGCCAUAGCCCUCUCCCUGCUGCAUUCCCUUUCGUCCGCUGUCCUGAGGACUCGCUCCGCGGUGUCCCGCUCCCGCCGGCCGUUCUCGUGGCACAGCAGCUGAGGCGCGGGCGAGGCGACCCGUGCGUGGUCGCGCUGAGCGAUGGUAAUUGGAAUUUGAAUGGAACGGCCACACCACAGGUAUGGCGAUCGCGGGGCGCUUCUCCGGCAGAGCGCACCCGAAAUGGGGACCCCGCCGCCUGUCGCGGCGCCAGCUCCAGCGCGUCGUGUUUCACGUCAUGUUUACACGUCGAGGUUUGCUCGGAACAGGAUGCGCGACGAGUCCGAGCGUCCGUCGGACGGGGUUCGAUACAUUUUUCGUAGGCAUUCGAUGCAGGGAAGAGGGGAUUGGGGAUUGGUUGAUUGAGAACCAAGGAAGCGUGGUGCGCGACCCCAUGAGCAGGAGUACGUCCCGAUGAUGGGGGUGGGAGGGCCCCGGGAGGGGCUUCACUGUCGACUCGACGGUCGCCUUGUGUGCGUCACGCUUGCCGUGCUAGGUGUUUAGACAUCAUUGCUUGGCAUCAUCGUGCCAAGUUCGUGAGCAUGAUCGACCCGCAGUCGAUCAUUGAGUGUGCCAUACGCUGUACAUUGCUGUACGUAUUUUUGUGAAAUGAAAACACGGUCCGGGAUUUGAAUGCAAGAGACUUGGGUAUGGAUGAGGCAUAUUCCUGGUGUAUUGGAGUUUGAUGGUGGUUGCAGUAUUGGAGUCCGAUGUGCUGUGUCUUGCAUGAUCCGGGUCCCAUAUGGACAAGCACACUGCAUGUGGAUGGCAAGUCCGGUGUAAGGAGUCGCAUUGGAGUGAGGAAAAUUAUAGACGUUUUUUUAGAGAGGUGGUAUUUCACCUAGAUCUUGACGAGUUUGUACAUGUUGUCAAUUUUAAUGUAUGUCUUGUUAAGUUCUGGUUACAUAUUAUUAGGCGGGUUGAUUUUGUUUGAGAUUUACCGUGUUUUGUGACAUUUGUACUGUUCAGUACUUUUGUAUAUGAGAUUAAAUGCUGUUCAGUGGGAGUGAUAGAGGAUUUAGUUAUUGUUUUUGGAAAUUUAAUUUGUAUCUCUAAGGAACGUCGUUUGGUGAUUUUGCUUAGACUCCAAUUCUGCCUCGAUGAAAACUUCAAAAAAGGAAAGGAAAAAAUUAUCUGUUUUUAUUUGUGGUUGAAGUCGAGAUUCUUGCAUCAGGAAAUGCUUCUGACAUCUCUUUGGAAUCCACUUGUCGUGUUUUCCUAGUUUCGCCGUGCACCGCAGUCCCUCGAUUGCAAGCGAUUCUUAAUUUGGAGCGCCAUUCUGGCACAAUUCCAGUCCAGCAGAGCUCUGCCGGGAAGCCGAACACCCCUUCCAACCAUAUCUUAAGAUCAAAUACCCCUUGCGCACCAUCUGCCUCACUCCUUCAUUUUAGAAUGUAACCUUCGACCCCAAGUUUCACUCGAACCACACCCCGUGGUUAUUUACGUAAUGCAAACAGUGUGCUCUGUAUCUUUUGCUUCACAAAUCAACUAAUUACUUCACACCAAUACAAAUUGAUAUUUCGGCUACAUGUGUUGGAAAUUUGACACAAUGUUCAUAAGAAUAAUAUAUUUUGUUACAAUGAUACAAUCUUAUCAUGACCGA